rnacentral:rRNA from 1 species
GACGAACGCUGGCGGCGUGCUUAACACAUGCAAGUCGAACGAAGAGCGACGGAAGCUUGCUUCUAUCAAUCUUAGUGGCGAACGGGUGGGUAACGCGUAAUCAACCUGCCCUUCAGAGGGGGACAACAGUUGGAAACGACUGCUAAUACCGCAUACGAUCUAAUCUCGGCAUCGAGGAUAGAUGAAAGGUGGCCUCUACAUGUAAGCUAUCACUGAAGGAGGGGAUUGCGUCUGAUUAGCUAGUUGGAGGGGUAACGGCCCACCAAGGCGAUGAUCAGUAGCCGGUCUGAGAGGAUGAACGGCCACAUUGGGACUGAGACACGGCCCAGACUCCUACGGGAGGCAGCAGUGGGGAAUCUUCCGCAAUGGACGAAAGUCUGACGGAGCAACGCCGCGUGAGUGAUGACGGCCUUCGGGUUGUAAAGCUCUGUUAAUCGGGACGAAAGGCCUUCUUGCGAACAGUUAGAAG